rnacentral:rRNA from 1 species
CAUCACUACGCUAGAUGCAUAUCAAUAAGCGGAGGAAAAGAAACUAACUAGGAUUCCCUUAGUAACGGCGAGUGAAGCGGGAAGAGCUCAAAUUUGAAAUCUUCAAGGUUCUACCUUGACGAAUUGUAGUUUAAUAGAAGUGUUUUCUGUUAGGAGUUUGGCUAAAAGUUCUUUGGAAUAGGACAUCAUAGAGGGUGAGAAUCCCGUAUUUGACCGUUACUUUCUAGCUGUGUGAUACACUUUCAACGAGUCGGAUUGUUUGGGAAUGCAGUCCAAAAUGGGUGGUAAAUUUCAUCUAAAGCUAAAUAUUGGCGAGAGACCGAUAGCGAACAAGUACCGUGAGGGAAAGAUGAAAAGAACUUUGAAAAGAGAGUUAAACAGUACGUGAAAUUGUCAAAAGGGAAGCGUUUGACACCAGUGUUGUUUAGUUGAAAAUCAAUUCAAUAAUUUUUGAUUUUGAGUAGUAUUGACUUCAUCAGCUUGCUGCUUUCUUUUCGGAAAUUAUUGAAUGCACUUUUCAGUUAACAAGUCAACAUCAAUUUCUUUUGUUGUAAAAGGGUAAGAGGAAGGUGGCUUACGCUUCGGCGUAAGUGUUUAUAGCCUCUUACCUCUGCAAUCGGAGAGAUUGAGGACAGCAGCGUAGACUCCUUCGGGGUUAGAUACACUUGUGCUAAGCUAUAGCCUUGUAUAGACAACUUGUUGACUAUGCUCAGUCAUGUAGCUUACUCGCUUGUGCUAUUUUACCUACGCUUAGGAUGUUGACACACGCGCGUGCUCG